rnacentral:snoRNA from 1 species
UGGCCAUUUAGAAGAGGGCUUGUUGGACUGUGAAACCAAGAGUUCUUGAUGCUGUGUCCAGUGCUUGAAGUUCUCCACGGGAUGAUAUAGUCACUUAGUAGUGCUGGCUGUCUGGGGUGGGGGGACUCAAAA